rnacentral:misc_RNA from 1 species
AAAUCCUGCUAUUGCCAGGGGAAAUAUGCACAUUGCUAUAAUAAGGUAUGAUAGAAGCACUCCUCUCCACAUUGACUUGCUUGAGGGAUGUUUUGAACUUGAUGGUAAUGUUCCUUGUAUCUCAAGCACAAGGUUGUGACCUCUAAAAGAAAGGGCAAUGAUUCCAAGUGCGUUGAAGAUAGCAGGGAUUGUAGCCAUAUCAGAUUUCCCAUUUUGUAAAGGAUCAUGGGACACCCUGUUAGGUCUAUCCUUAGAGAUGGUAGAUACCCAAAUCAGAGUAUAAUAUCCCACGGCUGUGAUUGCAGCAAUGAAGGAGACGCCGGCAAUGGAAUUCAAGUUAGGACGU